rnacentral:lncRNA from 8 species
AUGGGACACUAUUUUAUGUUUAGUCCUUUUGUUUCUUAUUAUAGAUGUAACUUGUGUUUUCCAGCUCCAAAUGUCCCACCCCCUCCUCCCCCGGUUAGCCCACCAGUGGGCUGGGGUGAUGUCAUCAUCCCCACCACCAGUAGCAGCAGUAGCAGCAAGAAGAGGACCCCCCCUCCGCCUUUGGUUAUCCGCCACAAGCGCACCUACUCAGAGCCCACCCCCCAAGUGCCCCACAGCCCCCAUUCCUCCAGACAGAGCCACGCAGAUUAUGGGGUACCAUCAAAUUCAACAGGCUACAGUGGUCCAGAGUCAUCCUUUCAGAAGUGUGUCUCAGGGUCUCCAAAAUACUCUGUGACUGCCCUCAACUCCCUAUCUGAACUGCCAGAGAGAGGAUUCCGCGCAGAUGGAGAAAGCAAAAAGUCCCACUUUGUCUAUCAGAGGCCAGCAGACAUGCCGUCCAAUGGGGCCUCCUCCCCCAAGGCAUCCCCACCCCAUGCCCAGGAGAGCACUGGGAGGGGGCAGACUGACUCUUUUCCUUACAUUAUUUUUGUGAGGGAGGACAACAAUUCAUUUUCAUUAAUCCCCUUGCGCCAAAGUUUAAUUUUCAUCAUCAAUUGUUUAAUUUGGUUGGUAUUUCCAUUUAGUAGAGGUCAAGGCAUAGCAGACUAUAUUUAA